CUAUCUAUUAUCUAGCAACAUACCAAAGCGAAACAGAGAACCUAAGGGAAAUCAAAUCAUGAGGACUACUUUAAUUUUAAUACGCUAAGCUUCAGGUACUCUAAGUAACGACGAGAAGGGAAAAACCAGCUCCAUCUUUGUCACGCCAGUUGACUUGGAAAUUUUAACGAAGACUUGUGGAAAAUUGCUGGUUGGUCCAUAUGAAAGGCAGGAAUUUUCCAUCCCAAUUUCCACGACGACUUAAACCACAGAAAGACUUGACUCGUUUGACUCUUCAACAAAGAAAGUGCACUUCACGUUUUUGAACCACAGAACUCUAACCUUAUGUGGACCUCAGAAAUUUGUAUAGAUGGUUUUAACAACUCUGUUUCAGGUCCUCUUGAUUGAUCAUCGAGAAUUGAGUUCUGAGAUCAGCUAAUUGGAUGUGUGAUUUCAUCUCUACCUAAUUUUAUAUCAUUGUUCCGUAAUAAGAAUCAGUCAAGACACAUUCAGAAAAAGUUGCAGCUGUAUAGGUGACUUCAAAACCAGGAAGUUUCUUGUUUACAUUUUUUGAGUAUUUUUUUUUUUUUUGUUUUCCCAUACUGGUCCCUGGAGAAGGCAUGGAGAUUAUUUGAAACUGUCCCUUCUCCCUAAAGUUCUCAAGGACUUGACUGAUGUAGUGUGGCUUAUGGCACCCAUCCUUGCCCACCGGGGGCCAAAAUCAAAAGCAAAAGAAGAAAUAGACACAAAGGUAACAAGAAAAGAAUUCCUUGUCAAUUUCAUGCAAAUCUGUCACAAGAAUUGAUUUUUAGCAGCCAAUCAUGCACCUAAUCUCCACAAUCUCUAUACCACUAGCUAGAUAACAUUUCUAGAUUGUGGAACGUGGAACACAACCUGCCCCAACAAAAUUAAAUGGCUAUGAAAAAGAAGGAAGAAGUGAAACAGAAAGAAACAUUCUUGAUCAAUAAAAUUAGCAGAAUCAUGAUUGCCAAGGCCAGAAAAAAGCAAGUUGCAGCCUAAUUAUGUACCCUUAACAAGCACAAAAUGAUGAUGUUUCUAAUGCCAUAUAAAUGAGCAAUAACUUGUUGAUGUUAGUAAACCAUAUGCUUCUUUUUAGCAGGAGUAAGACGACGUGUUUCUAACUCUUCUUAAACCCUAAUCCAUUGAUUUUUCCUACGUUUCUGACUUCUAACUCAAGGAAGAAGGAUGGUCUUUCUUUCAUUCAUUCAAGAAUUGGCAUUAGAGGGAGCCUCAAAUCAACUUUCACGAAUUCACAUGACUUUCACUGUUUGGGCUCCUAAUAAAGAUAUUUGUGAGGGAAAGGCACUAACUUGGGAGGCAACUAUAAAGGAAGCACAACUAGUUAAGACAGAUGAAAAUUGUUAGAAAUUCUAUCAUCACUGCAAUUCCUUUUGUAGGGCUGAGCAGUGCAGAAACAAACCAUUUCAUUUCCUUCCAACCCAAAAUAACCACUUCUUUCACAUUCUUUGCAACUAUUUCCACUCCAUGUCAACUGGUGCAGCAACAUGAGACUGACAAGGCAUUACACUAGAGUUGAUCUCAAUUUUUCCAUCUUCUAUAACAGCAUAAGAGUGGUACGGAGUAUCGGAAGCACAAAAUGAUGGGGUGCUGCCUAUAUUCAACUCAACAGGAAAGGAGCUGUUUCAAUCGUUAAACAAGCAGAGAUUGGCAAAAUUGUGGCCAAAUUUGACUGAAGACCGAUCAAAAGCAAAAAGUUCCCGGGGAGCAAUACAUGCAGCAUUCAGAACUUCAGCAUUCACCAACCGGAUGGAUUGGUUUUGGUAGGUGGCACUCAAGAACGUACUCACUUCGAGAUGUUAAAUAAACAGGUUUGUUUCCUUUUCAGGAUAACUCAAACCCUGGAUAACCACAACAAUCUGGAUAAUUUUCUUCUAUGAUCUGGACAGUGUAGCUUAUCUGUGGACCAUUUUCACAAUUUCUAGACUUGCAGGCUUUGUAUCUCCUGCCCACUGGUUCAACUGACUCUACCAAGAUAAUGUGCACCAUAAUAGACAUGACUCUAACACGAAAGACAGUGCUGAUUCUUAGCAAGCUGAGCUGAGCCAUUACUAGAGUGGAAAGGGUCUGUACCAUAUGAUAUCUAAGACGUAUAUAAUAACAUCUGAGCUAAAUUCAAAAUAAUUCAAGUCA